rnacentral:rRNA from 1 species
UGCAAGUCGAGCGAAUGGAUUAAGAGCUUGCUCUUAUGAAGUUAGCGGCGGACGGGUGAGUAACACGUGGGUAACCUGCCCAUAAGACUGGGAUAACUUCGGGAAACCGGGGCUAAUACCGGAUAACAUUUUGAACCGCAUGGUUCGAAAUUGAAAGGCGGCUUCGGCUGUCACUUAUGGAUGGACCCGCGUCGCAUUAGCUAGUUGGUGAGGUAACGGCUCACCAAGGCAACGAUGCGUAGCCGACCUGAGAGGGUGAUCGGCCACACUGGGACUGAGACACGGCCCAGACUCCUACGGGAGGCAGCAGUAGGGAAUCUUCCGCAAUGGACGAAAGUCUGACGGAGCAACGCCGCGUGAGUGAUGAAGGCUUUCGGGUCGUAAAACUCUGUUGUUAGGGAAGAACAAGUGCUAGUUGAAUAAGCUGGCACCUUGACGGUACCUAACCAGAAAGCCACGGCUAACUACGUGCCAGCAGCCGCGGUAAUACGUAGGUGGCAAGCGUUAUCCGGAAUUAUUGGGCGUAAAGCGCGCGCAGGUGGUUUCUUAAGUCUGAUGUGAAAGCCCACGGCUCAACCGUGGAGGGUCAUUGGAAACUGGGAGACUUGAGUGCAGAAGAGGAAAGUGGAAUUCCAUGUGUAGCGGUGAAAUGCGUAGAGAUAUGGAGGAACACCAGUGGCGAAGGCGACUUUCUGGUCUGUAACUGACACUGAGGCGCGAAAGCGUGGGGAGCAAACAGGAUUAGAUACCCUGGUAGUUCACGCCGUAAACGAUGAGUGCUAAGUGUUAGAGGGUUUCCGCCCUUUAGUGCUGAAGUUAACGCAUUAAGCACUCCGCCUGGGAGUACGGCCGCAAGGGUGAAACUCAAAGGAAUUGACGGGGGCCCGCACAAGCGGUGGAGCAUGUGGUUUAAUUUGAAGCAACGCGAAGAACCUUACCAGGUCUUGACAUCCUUUGACAACCCUAGAGAUAGGGGUUUUCCUUUGGGAGCAGAGUGACAGGUGGUGCAUGGUUGUUGUCAGCUUGUGUCGUGAGAUGUUGGGUUAAGUCCCGCAACGAGCGCAACCCUUGAUUUUAGUUGCCAUCAUUUAGUUGGGCACUUUAAGGUGACUGCCGGUGACAAACCGGAGGAAGGUGGGGAUGACGUCAAAUCAUCAUGCCCCUUAUGACCUGGGGUACACACGUGGUACAAUGGACGGUACAAAGAGGUGCAAGACCGCGAGGUGGAGCUAAUUUCAUAAAACCGUUUUCAGUUUGGAUUGUAGGGUGCAAAUUGCCUACAUGA